UGCUCUUCUCAUUCCACAACUCGAGUUGGGCAAUGACUUGGUUAGUGAACGAGCACGACAUCACAAAACUGGGGUGUCCUGCUGCUCUUCUCAUUCCACAACUCAAGUUGGGCAAUGACUUGGUUAGUGAACGAGCACGACAUCACAAAACUAGGGUGUCCUGUGGCACAUCCCAAGUUCAUGAGACGACCCUCAGCCAAAACAAUGAUGCCACUGUUGGUGUCGGGGAAAACCCAUCUGUCGGUUUGAGGCUUAAUUGUGAUCCUCUUGACACCAGGAUAGGUCUCGAGACCGAGCAUGUCGAUUUCGUUGUCAAAGUGACCAAUGUUGCAGACAAUGGCAUUGUUCUUCAUCUUCCUCAUGUGGUCAACCAUGAUGAUGUCCUUGUUACCGGUUGUGGUGACAAAGAUAUCGACAUCAGAAACAACGUCCUCAAGAGUAAGAACUUGGAGACCUUCCAUGGUAGCCUGGAGAGCACAGAUCGGGUCAAUCUCGGUCACAAUCACACGGGCACCAGCUUGUUUCAAGGCAGCAGCACAUCCCUUUCCGACAUCUCCGUAACCCGCAACAAGGG
rnacentral:lncRNA from 1 species